UCGCGGCUUAUCACCGGCAGUCCCCCCAGAGUGCCCAACCAAAUGAUGGCAACUGGGGGCGAGGGUUGCGCUCGUUGCGGGACUUAACCCAACAUCUCACGACACGAGCUGACGACAACCAUGCACCACCUGUUUACGAGUGUCCAAAGAGUUGACCAUUUCUGGCCCGUUCUCGUAUAUGUCAAGCCUUGGUAAGGUUCUUCGCGUUGCAUCGAAUUAAUCCGCAUGCUCCGCCGCUUGUGCGGGCCCCCGUCAAUUCCUUUGAGUUUUAGCCUUGCGGCCGUACUCCCCAGGCGGGGCGCUUAAUGCGUUAGCUACGGCACGGAAAACAUGAAUGUCCCCCACACCUAGCGCCCAACGUUUACAGCGUGGACUAC
rnacentral:misc_RNA from 1 species